rnacentral:rRNA from 1 species
AAACUUUUAGCAACGGAUCUCUAGGUUCUCGCAUCGAUGAAGAACGCAGCGAAAUGCGAUAAGUAGUGUGAAUUGCAGAAUUUUGUGAAUCAUCGAAUUUUUGAACGCACAUUGCACUCUCUGGUAUUCCAGAGAGUAUAUCUGUUUGAGCAUCAUUU